AUUGAACGCUGGCGGCAGGCCUAACACAUGCAAGUCGAGCGGUAGAGAGGUGCUUGCAUCUCUUGAGAGCGGCGGACGGGUGAGUAAUGCCUAGGAAUCUGCCUAGUGGUGGGGGAUAACGUUCGGAAACGGACGCUAAUACCGCAUACGUCCUACGGGAGAAAGCGGGGGGAUCUUCGGACCUCGCGCCAUUAGAUGAGCCUAGGUCGGAUUAGCUAGUUGGUGAGGUAAUGGCUCACCAAGGCGACGAUCUGUAGCUGGUCUGAGAGGACGACCAGCCACACUGGGACUGAGACACGGCCCAGACUCCUACGGGAGGCAGCAGUGGGGAAUUUGGACAAUGGGCGCAAGCCUGAUCCAGCAAUGCCGCGUGCAGGAUGAAGGCUCGUGUAACUAGCUUUGUUACGGUAACGAAACGGUA
rnacentral:rRNA from 1 species